rnacentral:tRNA from 1 species
GAGGCUCUAGCUUAAUUAAAGCGCUUGUUUUGCAUGCAAGAGAUGUAGGUUAAAGCCCUGUGAGUUUUA